UCCUUUCCUCCAAAAAAAAUGCACUAACAUUUGUUCCUUUUGGUAAUUAACAAAAUCAACCUUUCCUUCUACUACUUUUCUGAACAAAUUCACCAAAUGUUGCAAUAUCAUUGGUCCAAUUUCAUUUUUCCCUCUUUCCCUCAUUUCAAAAUCGUUCUCUCCUUCUCUCUGCUAUCUUUUUCUUGAAACCCUAAAUCUUCAGCCGAGUCACCUCUCACCUCCAAGGCGGAACGCUCACCCCACCUCACAACUUCACCAUUAAAAUGCAACAAUACCUUUUUCAAACUCGUCACCGCCACCGGAUCUGCAACAAUCACCUCGCCAAACAUCCGAAUUUAAUAGUGAAAAGAAAAAACUCAUCGCACGUUUCUUCCUAAACAAAGCUAUCACAAAUCAAUGAUUUUUCAAAAGCUCAACUCUGUUGAAGGAAUGACAUGUAUGUAUUUCAACCCAUUUUGAGUUUCUUGGCAAGCUUUAUUACGUUUUUCAUUGUUGGACUGAACUUAAUCUCAAUGAUAAGGUAUAAAUCAUAUGACUUUCUUUAGAUAAAGUGUUGAAUACUCACGUGUCUUUUAUUCAUUCUUCCAUUUUCUUCUUUUGUUCAACAAACUUUACCUGUUGUUGUGAAUCUGAAGUGAUUCAUGGGGUUAACAAGAUAGUGAUGGAACUUAUGAGCUUUGCUCACUACCUUGACCCACUGACUUCAAAUGAUCUUUGUUCAUGAUUCUCUUGGAAUCUAUUUGAUAAAUUCUGUUAUUGAUUUAUUGAAUCAUUACAAUUGAGUUAGAAACUGAUUUCGAGUCCUAAUAUGUCAUCCUCCCCGCAGUGCGCAUUAGGCUGUUGCUUGGAAGAAUUAUGUUUAUAUUUUUUGGUGGUGAAUUUACAUCUCCAAAUCAAGAGAGGUUCCAUCACUACAAGGUUAAAGUUGCACUGCCUUGCUUCUGUUUGUGAUUAAGGAAAGUAUGAUUUCCUUUACUAAUUUUGACUGUUUGGAGAUGUUGCUUUUGAAUUUUGAUUGCCAUGUGCUUAGGCCAUGCAGCCACAAUAAGGCUGAUGUUCUAGAAAGAGGAAGCUGAACAAUGUGUGUGCAAUAUCCUUUACCCAUAUUUGGACUAUGUCUAUUUAUUGAUAAAAGUUGACCUCAAAUUGGAGCAGUGUUGCCCAUGGCGGGGAGCCAAAAUCCUGACAUACCGAACGCUUUGCGAUGCCGAUAUGGCGGAUUAUGGUGGACAAACUCGCAAUAUCGUCCAAUAUUUACCAUUGGGGUAAGCUCAAAAACCGAUACGUAAAGACUCCAUAGUGCUGCAAUUGCGGAUAUUUGAUAACACUUAAUUGGAGUGUCUUUUGCAAGGCCUCACCUGUUGGAAUGUAGGAUCACUGUCAAGACAUGUGAUAACUCUCAAUGUUCUGCAUGAUAACUAUUAAAUUUAUGUAAUAAUAGCUCUAUUAAUUUUAGGUCUAUAGCCAUUGUAUAAUAUGUUUUAAGUGAGUUAUGUCAAUGAGUAUUUUAUGUGGGAAUGCAAUAAAGAUAAAGGUGUUAUA